UGAAAUAUUUUCAACAAAAAUAUUUUGUAAUAAAAAUUUAUCUAAAUUUAAAUAAGGGAGUUUCACUCCGUAUAUUAGAGCUCGUAGAAAAAAAUACAGCCCUCCACUGGGACUCACCAAGCCCUGAGACUGGGUCAAGCAGAUAGACUUGAAAACCAACUCCCAACGUGGGUGCCUGGAGGCCCCUGGAGGGGCAGCUUAGCCUGGACAAGUGCAGAGGGCCCGUGCACAGAGGGCGCCUGUCGAGACAGAGCUCUGACCGGUCAUUGUUUUCCUCAUCGCCAUGGCGUACGGUUGAACUGAUGCCAGGAGCUGACCUCAGCUGCAGUCCCCGCAGACCGUGUCCAGAAUGCACUGAGGGUUUGGACCAGAUCACAGCUCUGCAAGGCCGCAGUCCCAGCUCUGCCGCUGACCUCACCAGCAGCAUUCUUUAGAGCACUCAUCAUCAUUUGCAAGGAGUCUGAGGGGAAAGCACGUGGGGCUGUGCUGGUCGAACAUCCCAUCCAUUCAUCCAGCCACUUGUUCAUUCAUCCAACAAAUCUUUGUCGAGUAUCUGCAUGUUCAAGGCACUCUGCUUGGUUUUCUACAAUAGAAAGAAGCUCCAGGCUCCAUGGAGAUCACCUUAUUUUUUAGAGAUGUCAAAGGUUUACCUCGUAUGGACAACAUAGGAUAUGGCUAUCCCCUGGAAGGAAUUGGUGGGACACAAACAAAAGGAUUCAGCUGGUCAGUGGACAAAAGAGCCCAAUUAAACCACCAAGCUGCAGCAAACGCGCUCAGGAAGGGCCUCAGCACAGGCCUGGAGCACUGAAGAACGUCUCCUCAAUGCGGGCUUUGGGAACAGCCUUCAGGCAGACAGUGAGGCCCCGCACAGCCUCUGCUCCUGGAAAAGCCCUGAAGGCCUGUGCGAUGUGCCCUUGGGAUGAUACUGGGGUCUCCCAAGGCUCCACCCUAGGUGGGCCCCGUUGCCUCCUCCGUUCACCCUUCCCCAGCCACAUCAGGUACCAGGGCAGUCCCAUCCUCAGAGCAGGCUGCAGGCUGUGAGGCUCCUGGAGCUGGGUCUGUGCUAUCCCGUUAGCCUGGGAUGCUGCCUUCUCCACCCCUCAAUGAUCACAACCCAUCUCUCCCCUCAAGAUGCCAUUCAAACGCUCCUUUUCUGCAGCCCCCGUCUCCUCCUGUUGCGAUCCUAGAGCACAUUGCUUGCAUGUUGCUGAACAGAUGCCCAUCCUGAUCUGGGAUUCAGUAGUGGUCUCCACCACCACCCUUCCCACCAAGCUACUCUGCCACUUCCCUCAAGGGGAGAGACGGGUAGGGGAACUUCGUCUACAGACUGCCUGUCACUUGCCGGGCACCGUGCUGGUUGCUAUAUGAGAAUACCAUUUAAUCCCCGUGUCCACUGCAAGGCAGUCAUUGUCAUACCCAUUUUACAGAUGAGAUUUGCCAAAUAAAGGCAGAGAGCCAGAAUUACAGUUUAAA